AUGCCCGCUCUGGCAGCACAUAUACUAAAAGUGAAACAACGCAGAGAAGAUUAGCACGGCCCCUGGAUAAGGAUGAUGUGCAAAUUCGUGAAGCAUUCCAUAGUUAU